AGACCCGAAACCCGGUGAUCUAGCCAUGGGCAGGUUGAAGGUUGGGUAACACUAACUGGAGGACCGAACCGACUAAUGUUGAAAAAUUAGCGGAUGACCUGUGGCUGGGGGUGAAAGGCCAAUCAAACCGGGAGAUAGCUGGUUCUCCCCGAAAGCUAUUUAGGUAGCGCCUCGUGAAUUCAUCUCCGGGGGUAGAGCACUGUUUCGGCUAGGGGGCCAUCCCGGCUUACCAACCCGAUGCAAACUGCGAAUACCGGAGAAUGUUAUCACGGGAGACACACGGCGGGUGCUAACGUCCGUCGUGAAGAGGGAAACAACCCAGACCGCCAGCUAAGGUCCCAAAGUCAUGGUUAAGUGGGAAACGAUGUGGGAAGGCCCAGACAGCCAGGAUGUUGGCUUAGAAGCAGCCAUCAUUUAAAGAAAGCGUAAUAGCUCACUGGUCGAGUCGGCCUGCGCGGAAGAUGUAACGGGGCUAAACCAUGCACCGAAGCUGCGGCAGCGACACUCAGGUGUUGUUGGGUAGGGGAGCGUUCUGUAAGCCUGCGAAGGUGGCCUGUGAGGGUUGCUGGAGGUAUCAGAAGUGCGAAUGCUGACAUAAGUAACGAUAAAGCGGGUGAAAAGCCCGCUCGCCGGAAGACCAAGGGUUCCUGUCCAACGUUAAUCGGGGCAGGGUGAGUCGACCCCUAAGGCGAGGCCGAAAGGCGUAGUCGAUGGGAAACGGGUUAAUAUUCCCGUACUUGGUGUUACUGCGAAGGGGGGACGGAGAAGGCUAUGUUGGCCGGGCGACGGUUGUCCCGGUUUAAGCGUGUAGGCUGGUUUUCCAGGCAAAUCCGGAAAAUCAAGGCUGAGGCGUGACGACGAGGCACUACGGUGCUGAAGCAACAAAUGCCCUGCUUCCAGGAAAAGCCUCUAAGCAUCAGGUAACAUCAAAUCGUACCCCAAACCGACACAGGUGGUCAGGUAGAGAAUACCAAGGCGCUUGAGAGAACUCGGGUGAAGGAACUAGGCAAAAUGGUGCCGUAACUUCGGGAGAAGGCACGCUGACACGUAGGUGAAGUGAUUUACUCACGGAGCUGAAGUCAGUCGAAGAUACCAGCUGGCUGCAACUGUUUAUUAAAAACACAGCACUGUGCAAACACGAAAGUGGACGUAUACGGUGUGACGCCUGCCCGGUGCCGGAAGGUUAAUUGAUGGGGUCAGCGCAAGCGAAGCUCCUGAUCGAAGCCCCGGUAAACGGCGGCCGUAACUAUAACGGUCCUAAGGUAGCGAAAUUCCUUGUCGGGUAAGUUCCGACCUGCACGAAUGGCGUAAUGAUGGCCAGGCUGUCUCCACCCGAGACUCAGUGAAAUUGAACUCGCUGUGAAGAUGCAGUGUACCCGCGGCAAGACGGAAAGACCCCGUGAACCUUUACUAUAGCUUGACACUGAACAUUGAGCCUUGAUGUGUAGGAUAGGUGGGAGGCUUUGAAGCGUGGACGCCAGUCUGCGUGGAGCCGACCUUGAAAUACCACCCUUUAAUGUUUGAUGUUCUAACGUGGACCCGUAAUCCGGGUUGCGGACAGUGUCUGGUGGGUAGUUUGACUGGGGCGGUCUCCUCCUAAAGAGUAACGGAGGAGCACGAAGGUUGGCUAAUCCUGGUCGGACAUCAGGAGGUUAGUGCAAUGGCAUAAGCCAGCUUGACUGCGAGCGUGACGGCGCGAGCAGGUGCGAAAGCAGGUCAUAGUGAUCCGGUGGUUCUGAAUGGAAGGGCCAUCGCUCAACGGAUAAAAGGUACUCCGGGGAUAACAGGCUGAUACCGCCCAAGAGUUCAUAUCGACGGCGGUGUUUGGCACCUCGAUGUCGGCUCAUCACAUCCUGGGGCUGAAGUAGGUCCCAAGGGUAUGGCUGUUCGCCAUUUAAAGUGGUACGCGAGCUGGGUUUAGAACGUCGUGAGACAGUUCGGUCCCUAUCUGCCGUGGGCGCUGGAGAACUGAGGGGGGCUGCUCCUAGUACGAGAGGACCGGAGUGGACGCAUCACUGGUGUUCGGGUUGUCAUGCCAAUGGCACUGCCCGGUAGCUAAAUGCGGAAGAGAUAAGUGCUGAAAGCAUCUAAGCACGAAACUUGCCCCGA
rnacentral:rRNA from 1 species